UUAGGGAUCUUGCGCAAUGGGCGAAAGCCUGACGCAGCGACGCCGCGUGACCGAUGAAGUCCUUCGGGAUGUAAAGGUCUUUUGGCAGGGAAGAAGGAAGUGACGGUACCUGCAGAAUAAGCCCCGGCUAACUACGUGCCAGCAGCCGCGGUAAUACGUAGGGGGCGAGCGUUGUCCGAAGUUACUGGGCGUAAAGCGCGCGUAGGCGGUUGUUUAAGUUAGAUGUGAAAUCCCGCGGCCCAACUGCGGAACUGCAUCUGAAACUGGGCGACUUGAGGACGGAAGAGGGCAGUGGAAUUCCUGGUGUAGCGGUGAAAUGCGUAGAUAUCAGGAGGAACACCGGUGGCGAAGGCGGCUGCCUGGUCCGUAUCUGACGCUGAGGUGCGAAAGCUAGGGUAGCGAACGGG
rnacentral:rRNA from 1 species